rnacentral:lncRNA from 1 species
GGAAAAAACUCAACGUGUGCCACAACCUCCUGGAAAGCACUGAGGAUGCAGUAGGAGGGGGAAAAGAUGGAAAAUGGAAACUCAGAGGGUGUGGGAGUUUCCCAUUGUACCAAAAAUUGUUCCAAUGUGCCAUGGCCUGUGCCAGCCCUGGGGGAAGCCCCCAUGCAGGCUGUGCGUGGGGAUGCAACGACUUGGUCACUGCUGCCUGCUCCUGCCCUGCCCUCACUGCUGCAUCCCUGCCUCGCUUGGAUUUGCAAACUGAAAGAUCACUCCAGGUAGCUUUGGGGACGUGCAACUGCUGCUAUCACCUUGCUAUUGUGAACAAGAUGCCUCUCCUCCACCAAGCUUGUCUUCAAGAAUGUCCACCCCCAGAAAACCACCCACAAAUGAGUUUUGUCAUCACCUGCCCAAGUGAUGGCAGCGGCGCUGGGUCCCAUAGCAGAAGGCCGCCCCGCACGCCUGCAUCUCUGCCUCGUCCCUGCUCAUGGGACCGUUUCCUCUGUGUGUCUCAGCCCCCACCCCGGCAAGGUGCGGAGGGCAGCACCUCCUGGGAUGUUCUCAGGGAAUUUGCCCCCGGGCUGAGCCAUGCCCUCAGCUGCCGGCACGCGGAGCGAUGGCAAGCACGGCCGUCGGCAGCAAAGCGACCUUAUGGACUGAAGCCAUGGAAGAGUCUGUAUAGUUUUUAUUUUUUAAUUAUUAAGCAGAAUGUAUAUACCUUUCUGUUGAUGGUCUAUUUUCCUAAUGGUUUCUCAGAAUUUCCUACAGGCGCGUUAAAUCGUUUUGAUGCUUGUUCUGCGAGAUCUAUUUUUUAUCUUUUUUAUCCUGGUUUCGGUUUGCGGUUUGAUUUCUUUUUCCCAUGUCCGUGCGGCGCUUAAAGCCUUACGUUUUGAAAUGUGAACCUUGCCCCCGUGUGUGCGCACAGCUCGUUUUUAUCCUGGUGCCACUGUAAAUACCUCUCCACCAAAUGAAGCUUUUGGCAGUUCACUUCUCAUUAAGUGGUACAGCAUUAAAGCAUUUUUCUCAGUACUCGAAUAAACGCUGCCUGUUGUUUGCUCUCA